GAGGUAGUGACAAUAAAUACUGAUACAGGGCUCUUUUGGGUCUUGUAAUCGGAAUGAGUACAAUUUAAAUCCCUUAACGAGGAACAAUUGGAGGGCAAGUCUGGUGCCAGCAGCCGCGGUAAUUCCAGCUCCAAUAGCGUAUAUUAAAGUUGUUGUGGUUAAAAAGCUCGUAGUUGAACCUUGGGCCUGGCUGGCCGGUCCCCCUCACCGGGUGCACUGAUCCAGCCGGGCCUUUCCCUCUGUGGAACCCCAUGGCCUUCACUGGCUGGCGCGGGGUACCUCGAGUUUUAACUUGAUAAAAAUACUGCUCAGCAGGCAAGCCUCAGUCCGUAGACAUUAGAAGCGGAUAAUCGAACAGGAAGGGUGGUGAUAGUCUGUGUUGUUUUUGGUACUGCGUGACGAUUAAUAGAGGCAUCCGGGGGCAUCAG
rnacentral:rRNA from 1 species